AUUGAACGUUGGCGGCAGGCUUAACACAUGCAAGUCGAACGAGAAAAUGCCUUCGGGCAUGAGUACAGUGGCGGACGGGUGAGUAACGCGUAGGAACCUACCUGGUAGGGGGGGAUAACUCGGGGAAACUCGAGCUAAUACCGGAUACGCUCUACGGAGGAAAGAGGGCCCCUAUUUAUAAGCCCUCGUUAUCAGCGGGGCCUGCGUUGGAUUAGCUAGGUGGUAGGGUAAAGGCCUACCAAGGCGACGAUCCAUAGCUGGUCUGAGAGGACGAUCAGCUACACUGGAACUGAGACACGGUUCAGACUCCUACGGGAGGCAGCAGUGGGGAAUCUUGGGCAAUGGGCGCAAGCCUGACCCAGCCAUGCCGCGUGUGCGAAGAAGGCCUUCGGGUUGUAAAGCACUUUCAGUGGUGAAGAAAAGCCAGGGGCUAAUACCCCCGGGUCUUGACGUUAGCCACAGAAGAAGCACCGGCUAACUCCGUGCCAGCAGCCGCCGUAACAC
rnacentral:rRNA from 1 species